rnacentral:rRNA from 1 species
UACGUAUGGUGCAAGCGUUAUCCGGAUUCACUGGGUGUAAAGGGAGCGCAGGCGGCACGGCAAGCCUGAUGUGAAAGCCCGCGGCCCAACCGCGGGACUGCAUUGGGAACUACCGGGCUGGAGUGCCGGAGAGGUAGGCGGAAUUCCUAGUGUAGCGGUGAAAUGCGUAGAUAUUAGGAGGAACACCAGUGGCGAAGGCGGCCUACUGGACGGUGACUGACGCUGAGGCUCGAAAGCGUGGGGAGCAAACAGG